UGGCAUAGAUCAGAAGCUACAGCUCCAAUUGGAUCCCUAGCCCAGAAACUUCUAUAUGCUGCAGGAGUGGGCAUAAAAAAGAAAAAAAAAGAAGAAAAAGAAAAAGAAAAUGCCACUCAGAGCAUACCCAGAGUCUAACCACUUCUUACACCUGCUCCAAGCCCCCAUCAUUUGUCAUCUGGGUUAUUGUUAUUGCCUCCUAACUCCUUUCACUCAUAACUCCCCACAGUUCUUCUUUCACUGAAUUGAACAGUUAAAUCAAUCCUUUUAAAGCCUACGUUGGCCCUGUCACUCCUCUGUUCAAACUCCCCUAGUUUCCCACCUCCCUCAGAGUAAAAGCUGAAAUCCGUCCUCUGGCCUGCAAAGCUCUACAAAAACUGAAUCACCCACUGUUUCUUCAAUGUCAUCUUCUAAAAGGAGCUCCCUUGUUCACACAGCUACAGCCACUCUGGCCUUGUUGCUCUUCCUCAAAUGAAACAGGUACCCCUGCCUCAGGGCCUUUGCACUGGCUGAUUCCUGUGCCUUGAACGCUUAGCUAAAUCCCUCUCUACCUUCAAGUCUUUGCUCAGAUGUCAGCAUCCAUAAAACUGCUACUUUUCAUGCCCUUUUCCUGUGUUAUAUUUCUGCAGAGCAUCUAUAACCUUCCCAUAUACUCUAUAUUGUACUUGUUUCUGUUUAUUGCAUAUCACUCUGAGUAGAAUAUAAGCAAGCUAAAGGUAGAAAUUCAUGUGACUUAUCCCCUGCUGUGACCUCAAAGGAGGCACACAGUAGGAAUUUGAUCAGUAUUUACUGAAUAUAAGAAUUUAGCAGCUUUCACCAACUGUGUGCCAUGGGUCAGGCAUGUACUAAGUGUAUCAAGAUGAUCACAGCAAAAUCUUUUCUCUUAAAGUGGCCCUGAAUCCUUGGGAUGGAGGCACAGGCAACCCCUAGUGUGAUAUGGUCAGGAUGCAACCCAUGGUUUUUGUUCUACCAUGUGGGUGGGUGACCUUGAGCAUCUGGACCAAUUCUUUGUACAUGCAGACACCCCUUCCUUCUUCCCUGGAGGCAGAGAUAACACUGCACCAUGGAAAUGAAGCCCCCACUGGAGUUUGCCUCAGACAUAUAAGAACUCAGGGCCUAACAGGGCAACACCCUUCUAUUUUCAUGUUCAGACCACCUCUCCAAGGGAGCUGGUUCCCUUCCAGCACAGUGGCCUCUAAGACUGUCUCCAGUGAUUCCUCCUCCUGGUGGUGUGCCCUCUUGUAAUCCUCUUCCCUUCAUGGGGACCUGGCCAUAUUGGCUCGCUUCUAACCAAUAGAAUAGGGCAAAUAUAACUUAUGAGGCUAGGUUACAAAAAGCCUGUGGCUUCCACUGUGCUUUCUCCCCCUCUCUUUCAAGUUACCAACUCUGGGAAGAUCCAGCUGCCAGCUUGUGGCAAACACCCCCAUGGGUGAAGCUAAUCUGCUGAGGCUUCCUACCAAUGGCCAUGGGAUUGUAUGAAGUCAGGGCUGAUCCUCCCCAAGCCAGCCCUUGAAAUGGCACAGCCUCUGCUGACACCCAGCCUGUUGACUUGUGAGAGGCCCCUCAGUGGAACUACGUGACCGAGAUGCUCCUGGAUUUCUAACCCACAGGAACUCUGUGACAGUACAUGUUUGUGACUUUCAGCGCCUACAUUUUGGGGUGAUUUGUUAUGCAGCAAUAGGUAACUAAUACAUAAUCACAUCUCUGCUUUGAGCCACAGCCUCUGUCAAGUGUCCAGAGCCCAGGGAGGCCCCCAUCCCCAGGGUGCUGGUACAAGACUAGAAGAGGCAAGAAAGAGGAACCACAGGGAGGGUGUGGGAGAAUCUGGAGGGUCCCUUUGGUUCCCGUGAGCUAUUUGCCACUGCUUUCCUGCCUGGGUGCUGUGAUCUUUCAGAACAAUCAGCCAGGCAGAAACUGGUCCUCUCCGGUUAAGCGACAAGUUAUUGAAUUCUUUCUUUUUGAUUGGAUUAGACAAAGGCAUUGACUAGCUCUCUAUGAAAGGAGGAAAGUUGAUCCCAGCCCGAUUACAUUCCUUCAGCAUCCUUGGUUCCAACAGCCUCCUUUCUCUUGCUCCAGAUGCUCAAUAAAUUUCUGUUGUUAUUGUUCCGAGGUGGGAGGAGAAGCAAAAAUGAAUUCUCUUUUCUUGUGUAAGAGGACCAAUCACUUCUGCACCCACCCCUUCCCCAAUGCGAUCAUGUUCUCAUCACAGUGCAUACGGCUUAUGGCUGAGAACUGCCGAGAAAAGCCAUGGACCUGCCUGAAUUAGCCCCCGACUUGGGUGAGCAGUGAAGCAGAAACCAUCCCUCCUUUUAACACCAUGACUCCACCAAGCAGGCCAAGCCCUGAAAUCAUCAUUGAUUAUCUCAUUUGGCCUGACUCCUGGGAAAUCUCAGGGGAAAGCAAAUUGAAUUGGAUAUUUGCCUCCACUCUUGUAACAGGGGCCCUGCCUAGAUUCAUUUCAGUCAUGACAGACAUCCAGAAAAUGAGGCCUGGAGUAGCGUGGCUGCAGGGGCUGUCUGGUCCCGUGAGAAGAUGGUCUCUGGUGAGUGGAUGAAUGGAAGGGGGGUGCUUUGGAGCCAAGCACCAUCUUUUAACCUAGAGGAUUAGUCCCAGAGGGGAGGCCCCUUUGCACAUGGGCUCUCUUGGCUGGCACAAGGAAAAGGCCAAUUGUUAGGAAAGAUGAAUGAAGCAAAGGCCAGGCUGCAUUGUUUUUGUGGGGGAAGGGGGUCUGGGGCCCCCUGGGGAGAGAGGGCUGCACUGGGACCGUUGAGGGUAGGAUCUUAGGAAUAAAGGGACAAGAAGCCCUUUUGUGACCAUGGGUCAUUCCAAGAAAUCCCUGGCCCUUAGUAGGGGGGAGAUGAAUAGGCAAAACUUAAAAAGGCCAGGAGGGUUUAUUUAAUGAGAGAGGAUUUCAGGGCGGGCAAGCCCUGCUGGAGGCCUCUCAGCUGAGCCGAGAGAGCAGUCUCAAUCCUGAGCCCUGGACCACCUGCUUCUCUCAUAAACAGCCCGCCAAUGGGGCCUGGCCAGCCUGAGUAGGGGAGAGCCCCAAGAGACUGGGUGACAAACACAGUGCCGAAUAGAGAAAGCCCAUAAUGUGAAAUUGGCAGGAUCUCCACCUGGCUGGCAGAUGGAGCACGUGGGCUUCACAACGGAGAGUAAAUGGGACCUGUGAACCUAGUGAGGCCAUGGGGGGAAGAUUUUAUGGGCAAAUUUAUGAACAAAAUUACAAUAAUAAUAAUAAUAACAUUAGCACAGAUUAUUUAUCAAGUGUCUUCAAUGUGACAGGUCAGGACAUAGAUGGGUAGAUAGAUGACAGAAGAUAGAGUAGGUAGAUAAGGAUAGAUGAUGGAUGGAUGGAUAGAUAGGUUGAUAGAUAAUAGACAGAUGGAUAACAAAUAGAUGAUAGAUAAUGGAUGAUCGAUAAGUAGAUAGAUAACAGAUAGGUGAUAGAUUAGAGAGAUGAUAGAGAGAUAGAUCCAAAAAGAGAAGUACUAUUAUUUGUAGUGAAAAAUGUUGACCCUCCCAGAUCCCCUUGGAACCCUUUUCACCCAUUUUGCCUUUUGUGCCCACCCCCAGGCUUGGGUGUGCUCUCGCUUCCAGCAGCAAGCAAGUGUGUCUGUUUUUUCAUAGGCCUUCUCUCAGCCUGGUGGAGCUUGCUUUGCAGAGAUGUAAGCACUGCAGAAUUUUCAUCCACUGUCUUUCCCACAGCCCUUAACCAGUGACUAACAGGUGCAGAGACAUGAAAGCACCUCUGGGUGUGGCCAACACAGGCAUCACCUACAGCUCAGAGCCCCUCUGGGGUCAGGUUGGAGCUGCCCUUUGCAGGACUUUGGCCUGAAAUGACACUUCUGCUCAGCUUCAUCCAUUUUUCUCCCCCACUUCCCCCACUCAAUUUCCACUUUCUCCUGGGAGCCCUUCCUUAAUCAUACGCAUCCUAGUCUCAGGAUAUGCUUUGAGGAAACCUCACUUAAGACAUUAUCCCCCAUUUGUAGGAGAGAAAACUGAAGCUUAUAGUGAUAUGAAGGCAUUAGAUUGCCCAGGGCCACUCAAGGAAAUGGCUGAGUUGGUAUUUAUAGGCAGUCCUGACUCCAGGGUCUGUGUUCUUUCCAUCACUUGCAGAACUCACUUCCAAAAAGGAAGCAUUUGUGUGUGGAAAACUGGGAGGAAAGCUCAUGCUUCUUGUCAUCCUUUGGUUCCCUCUGAGGGGUGCUUCUUGACCGUGGAUCAAGAGUUGGUCAAAUUCAAGACACCUUCACGACAGUGCUGGGGAAGAGGACAACUGACUUGCCAGGAUUUCUCAGGAAGAAGAAUCUUGUUGGCCUGCUCCAUGGGGUUCUUGGGGAUUCAAGAUGGCAACAGAAUAUCUUGCUAAUGAGCUUAGAAUUUGAGAACGAAGAAAUCUCUAUCACUGUUCUGAUUAAUUUUGCAGUUGUUCAUAAGUACUUAGUUUUCUGUGUUCAAGUAUGCAUUGAAUUUAGACCAAUUCCUGUGACUUGUGGGUUAAAACAACUUGAGCAUAAUUACCUUUCACUUCUAGCUUUAAGAGUGAAUGAUGAUUCUUCAUUUGCACCCUCUCUCUUGCUACUGUGACCAGCCUGGGUCUCUGAGUGAAGAUAACAUGGAGCAAACCCCUCCAUUUAUGAGUAAUGAGCAUGCAUCAUAAACAAAUCAUUUGUGAUCAAACCAUGAGGUCUGGGGAUUGUUCAUCACUGCAUCAUAACCUAGCCUAUCCUGACUAGUAUAACUUCCUUCUUCCAUUUUAUGUAGUUGACAAAUAGCAUUUUGGGGAAUUUACUAAUUGAGGUCAGCAAAUGAACCGUGCUUCUGACGCUGUUGACACCAACUAGGAAGAAACUUAGCUACUAUAGAUAUUUACCCAUUUCUUUGCAAAUGCUCCAAACUAAACAGACAGCUGGCUCCAAAUAAUACAGUUUCUCAUCUUCCUCAAAAAUAUUUAAUCAACAACAUAUUUCAGCCAGUAGUGAAUUAUAAGGGACUACUUAUAUUCUUAAGACAUGAGAUUAUUUUUUAAAUUUGGUUUUCUUUUCCAUCAUGGUUUAUUAUGGGAUAUUCACUAUAGUUCCCUGUGCUAUACAGUAGGUCCUUGUUUAUCCAUUCUAUAUAU